rnacentral:rRNA from 1 species
AGCAGCCGCCGCGGUAAUACGGAGGGUGCAAGCGUUAAUCGGAAUUACUGGGCGUAAAGCGCACGCAGGCGAUCUGACAAGUCAGAUGUGAAAUCCCCGGGCUUAACCUGGGAACUGCAUUUGAAACUGUCAGGCUGGAGUCUUGUAGAGGGGGGUGGAAUUCCAGGUGUAGCGGUGAAAUGCGUAGAGAUCUGGAGGAAUACCGGUGGCGAAGGCGGCCCCCUGGACAAAGACUGACGCUCAGGUGCGAAAGCGUGGGGAGCAAACAGGAUUAGAUACCCCGGUAGUCCCUGUCUCUUAUAC